UGCCAGGGUGAGUGAACUUGUAGUU
rnacentral:piRNA from 1 species